rnacentral:rRNA from 1 species
UACGUAGGGGGCAAGCGUUGUCCGGAAUCAUUGGGCGUAAAGCGUGCGCAGGCGGUUUUGUAAGUCUGUCGUGAAAUCCCCGGGCUCAACCUGGGAAUGGCGAUGGAGACUGCAAGGCUAGAGUUUGGCAGAGGGGGGUAGAAUUCCACGUGUAGCAGUGAAAUGCGUAGAGAUGUGGAGGAACACCGAUGGCGAAGGCAGCCCCCUGGGCCAAUACUGACGCUCAUGCACGAAAGCGUGGGGAGCAAACAGG